UCUCCAUACCAUAUCACAUAGGCCAUGGGGGUAGACAAAGGAAAAUUAUGGCCCAUGGGCAGGCUGACAUCUGUAUUUUAUAAAUAAAGUUUUAUUGGACCACAAUCACAUGCAUUUGUUCCCAUAUUGUCUGUGGGUUCUUUGACACUACAAUAGCAGUGUUGAGUUAGUUCAGACAGACAUCAUCUUAUAGCCUACGAAGCCAAAAAUAUUUAUGAGUUGGCCUUUUACUGAAAAGCUUUUCUACCGUUGGUAUAGACUAGACCAGACUGGAUGGACUAUGCUCUAAUAUCCUAGAAUUUCCUGCUUCCAUAUGGAAAAGAACAUACAACAAAAAUGAAGAAGUCAUACUUCAGCUUUUAUCUUCUUGUGGCUCAAUCAAAUGAGAUGCUCUAUGGCUUCUUCUCUUUUCCGAUGUGGACCCAGAAUUCCUGUGAGAAAUAUCUCCAGUGCUUUCAAGCUGUUCCUGCUGACACUUCCCUUCGCGAUUUGGGCUGCUGUGGUCCCUCCAAGCCUUUUUUCUUCCGGCUUCCGAUUCAACGGGCUUCUUUCCUUCAAAGGCAACUCCAUGUCAACCCUAACAAUCAACAAAAGACUCUUACGCACGGAAACCUAAUAGCUUGCUUGUCCUACCUGCCAACCUUCUUCAAAGCACACAAGAGCACCCAAUGACCAUACACCCGCAAAAGCGUUUGCACCGAUGGGUGAAAUCCUAAAACGUGGAAGCAUCUUGAAAGCAAAUGGUAAUUAAACACUGGAAAGCUGGGGCGGAGGAAGCAAGCGAGCCAGGGAUUGGAAUCCAUUAUGUGGCUGAGGCUUCUGUCUGGUCGAUUUAAGCAGAUUGAAGCCGAGGCGGUCGCAC
rnacentral:lncRNA from 1 species